UCUCACGACCCUGAGAUCAGUACCUGAGCCAAAAUCAAGAGUCGGUGCUUAACCGACUACGCCUCCCAGGCUCUCCCCAGAUUCCUCCUGCUGAGGCUUCAAGCAAGGCAGAAACACCAGAUAGGGUUUCUACCUGUGGCAACUGUCCACAUUUGGAUCGGAUAAGCUUUAGUGGUGGGGGAUUGUCCCGUGCAUCGUAGGAUGUGGAGCAGCGUCGUUGGCCUCUUCCCAGGUGGUGACAACCAAAAUACGGCCAGACCUUGCCGGACGGCCCCUGGAGGAGAAGCAUGCUCUGGUGGCUAUCUGCUGCACCUGAAGAAUCAACUGUGGGAGUUGAGGGACUGGGAGAAACGAGCCCUGGACCUCCUGAAUUUGACUCCUGAGUGCCAGGAUGGGACCCAAGAUGCUAGGAAGGGGGGGAAUAGAAGUCUGGGCUCUAAGACAAGUGCAGCUCAGAGUGAGGGAGCGUUUGUUUGGCUAGAGACUAGCUUCCUUUGUGCUUCUGAGUAUGGGCCUGAUGGAGACGGGAGGCAUCAGACGGCUCCUCCCGCUUCCCAGGCUCUGGCUGAAGCUCCGGGCUGGGGGGCCAGCCUUGGCGCAGGGGGCGCCCCUCGCUCUCGUGGGGACCCUCCAUCUCCCCGGCUCCCGUCGCUCCUUGAAGACAGGACUUGGGCCAUGUGGGGCUCUAGCCCCAGCACACCAGCUUCUCAAUGAACAUUAGGGGGCAGGGCAGAGAGAAGGAGUGUGCGCUCGUGUCUCUCCUUACAAGGGCAUCGGUCCCAUUUGUGAGGUUCCACCCUCAUGAUCUCGUCCGUCACCUCCCAAAGCCCCCCUCCCCCAACACCAUCACAUGGGGCAUUAGGAUUUCAACGCACACAUUUGGGGGGGAGGCCAACACACAUUCAAGCUACAAGAGCUGGCAAACAAUCUGUGCAUGAAAACCCAUCAACUCAUCUAGAAAAAGAAAGGGGCAGCUGAAGAUGAUGAAGUGGAGAACUCUUUCUUGCUGAGUGUGGGAGAAGUGGGGGCUUUAAGUCUGUACUAGUGAGGGCUCAGCUCGUCUAGCCGUGAUGGGGAGAGCCGGAACAUUCUUGGGGUUGAUCAUAGGACAGACGGAAUCGCUGGAUGUUUUCCCCAGGGAAAGAUGGGACCCCAGGCAGCUCUGCCUUGGGACAUAAAUCUCCCCAGGCGAUCCUAAGGCCUCCCUCCAGGGCACUGCUGGCCGCUGUGGGGUGCAUUCGUGGUCAUCACUUUUGGGAGCAAGAAUCUGAUUGACUCACCCUGAGCAGCACACCCCUGCACUUUGUGGUUGGCAGUCAGCCUCUAAUUUGUGACCGGUGGGGGACUCGAGCGGCUCUGACUGACAGUCCCUGACCCACCCAUCAAUGUUCUCAUACGGAAGCAGGGGCAGAGCGCCCCAUGUGGAGCAACAGAAGGACUCACCCCACAGCAUGCGGGGGCCGUCCCAAGGAAGGAAACACAUUAAAUGACACCCGGGGAUCUAGUUCUUUAACUGGAAAUAUAGAAGUAUGGCCAAACAUGGGGGGGGGGGAAGCCUAAAAUAGUAUAAAAAUGGCAUUUUAAGUGAGUAGGAAAAUUAUUUCAUAAUUGGUCUUGGGAUGGUCGUGUGCCAUCUGGAGAAAACCUUGGGAUUCCCACCUCACUCUGCAUUCCAAGAUGAAUUCCAGAAAGAGCAAUACAAAUGAUAAAAACAAAACAAAACAAAAACGAAGCCAUAACAGCGUUAGAAAUAAAAAUGGGAGAUUUUUGCAAUCCCAGCAUGGGAAAAGCUUUUCCAAGCAUGUCAUAAAACCCAGAAACCAAA